rnacentral:lncRNA from 10 species
CUCAUGAUAGUGAGUGAGUUCUCACAAGAUCUGAUGGUUUUAUAAGGGGCUUUUCCCCCUUUGCUUGGCACUUCUCUCUUCUGCUGCCAUGUGAAGAAGGAUGUGUUUGCUUCCCCUUCUGCUAUGAUUGUACGUCUCCUGAGGCCUCCGCAGUCAUGCAGAACUACGUCUCCACGCUGUGGGGACCCCAGGCUUGUGCAGACAUCUGUGGGAAUCCAAAGAUGGCGUGAUACGGAGAAGUCAGAAUGUGGCCAAGCAUCCUAAAUCCAUCGUCUGCGUCCCCUCUAGUGUGUUUUGUAUCAGUGUCAGGAAGAAUUAGCACUAACGUUUGGAUGUUGAUUUUAUCCACACCAGGAAGAAAAAGUAGCCAACGACGUUGUGAAGGAGAUACUAUCAUAUCCUUUAACAGCCCUGGUGAUGUUCGCUGCUCUGCACAGCACACGGUGACUACAUCCCAGAUCCAGAGCUGCGGAACUCUGGGGCCACGUCUCCAGCGCCGCAUUCGGCGGCACACGGAGGCCUGAGAAGGCGGGAGGGGUCAGUCUCUGGCUUCGAGUAGCAGCAAUACCAGGACAACCAUAGCUGAGUCAUGUCAAGAUGAACCAUAUGGCAUUACCAUUUUUUCACAGCUAUAUUCAGAUGUGUCAAUGAUGAGGAUUUCCCCAGUUAUCUAGGUGGGUUGAAACAGAAGCAGGUGCUUCAGGCAGUGCCUCAGGAAGCUGGUCACUCACGCUGCUGCCUUUUUGCCUCAUGAGGAAACUCACAGGCCAAGGAACUUCCUCCCGGUACUGAGCUGUGCCAGCCUGGGGAUGGGGUGAUGCAGGCAAAAUUACACUGGUCCCCCUACCCUUUCUGUGAAGUUAUUCUCUCUCUCCUCUCUCUCUGUCUCUGUCUCUCUGUCUCUCUCUCUCUCUCUCUCUCUCGUUCCACUGUGGUGCUGCAACUUCUUGACUUCUGAACGUUCCCAGGGUUAUGUUAGCUUGUGAAUAGCUAAUUGUUGUUUUCUGUUUGGAGGUGCAAAUGAUAGGGUCUUCUACUCUGCCAUCUUUCUGAUGUCAGCUUCUGCUCUUUUUAUUGUUAACCUUAAUAAAAUCAGUUUCUAGUAAAUGCUUGUGUUCAUUUCUGGAAUGAUGCAUCUGCCUGUUUAUGCCACUACACCAUACCUGUAAAAUUAUUCUCUUUAAAACAUAUUAUAAUAUCAAAAACAGAUAAGCCAAAACUUUAUUAUAAUUUUUUGACGUUGUUUUCCAUAGC